rnacentral:rRNA from 2 species
UCUUAAAAGGGCGAAUAAGUCAGAUGCUGCAGACCCGAAACGAAGUGAUCUAUCCAUGGGCAGGUUGAAGCUGGUGUAAGAGCAAGUGGAGGACCGAACCGAUGGGCGUUGAAAAGACCCCGGAUGACCUGUGGCUAGAGGUGACAGGCCAUUCAAACUUCGUGAUAGCUGGUUCUCUCCGAAAUAUCUGUGGGUUUAGCCUCGAGAAGUCGGAUGUAGAGGUAGGGCACUGUAAGUGCUAGGGCUGCUUAUCGAGGUACUAAACGCUAUCAAGGACCGGUUGCUAUGUGUGGAAUCGGGGGUGUCAGGCGUGGAGAGAUGACACCCAAUGUCGAGAGGGGAACUACAGUGACUAACUGCUUAGGACCCGAAGUUACGUUUAAGUGGAAAGCGAUGUGGGGUUACGGUGACAACCAGGAUGUUGGCUU